rnacentral:rRNA from 1 species
UACGUAGGUGGCAAGCGUUUAUCCGGAAUUACUGGGCGUAAAGCGCACGCAGGCGGUCUUUUAAGUUUGACGUUGAAAGCUCUCGGCUUAACUGGGAGAGGUCGUUGAAGACUGGAAGGCUUGAGGCAAUGAGAGGGGUGUAGAAUUCCCGGUGUAGUGGUGGAAUGCGUAGAUAUCGGGGGGAAUACCAGUGGCGAAAGGCGGCACCCUAGCGUUAGCCUGACGCUCUGUGCGAAAG